UCCCUGGUGGCUCAGAUGGUAAAGAAUCUACCUUCAAUGCAGAAGACCUGGGUUCGAUCCUCAGGUUGGGAA
rnacentral:tRNA from 1 species